AUGGCGGUCACAGACCAUGCACAUGCACAUGGACGCAGAUGCACGUGCACACACAGAGACACACGGAUGCACACACACACAAAUGAAGAGGCACAUGGAUGCAUGCACACACAUAUGCAGAGGCACACGGAUGCACAUGCAAAUAUGCAGAAGCACAUGGAUGCACACGCAUAUAUGCAGAGGUACAUGGAUGCACACACAUAUGCAGAGGUACAUGGAUGCACAUGCAAAUAUGCAGAAGCACACGGAUGCACACACAUAUAUGCAGAGGUACACGGAUGCACACACACAUGCAGAGGCACAUGGAUACAUGUGCACAGAGACACAUGGAUGUACGUGCACAUGCGGAGGUACACAGAUGCACACACAGAGGCACAAAGAUGCACGCACACACACAGAGGCAUGUGUAUACACAGAUACAUGCACACACGCACGUACACACCUGUGCAUACAGACAUGUGCGCACACAAACAGAUGCAUGCACAGAGAGAGACACACAUGCACACACACAGACACACACAGGUGGCGGCACCUCCAGCCUUGGCUGUGGCAUCACUGUUCUUGAAGGCCUAUGGCUUGGGGGAAGACCGCAGAAGCAUUUGGAGAGAUCUGGCCAUGACUGGGGUGGGUGUGCACAAGGUGCUGGGAAGUGGCAGCUGGUUCAAAGCUGAGAGCGACAAGAACGUCAUGCUUGGGGACACCUGCAAUGAGUCCCGUAUGACCAGAACUUAUAGUACGUUCGAGAAGUCGAGAGAGCUGAGCAUGAAGCACCAGGCAGAGCUCAAGCACAGGCGUGGCUAUCACAUCAACGCGGGACCCACUGCUCCACGCCCGCACGUUGCCCGUUCACUCAUCUGCCAGGUGCCUUCCCAGCCUCAGCAGACAGACAACCCGGGCUCCACCCCGCCCAACCUUCUUCACUGUGUCCCUUCCUCCUCCUCCAGUCUGGCUCCAGGGUUCACAGUCAUCUGUAGGUUAAAACGCUUUAGUUCCCUCGGGUCCUGGCCUCUUUCCUGGACUCCAGGUGUCUCGGGGUAG
rnacentral:lncRNA from 1 species